UGGGGAAUUUUGGACAAUGGGCGCAAGCCUGAUCCAGCCAUGCCGCGUGCGGGAAGAAGGCCUUCGGGUUGUAAACCGCUUUUGUCAGGGAAGAAAUCUUCUGAGUUAAUACCUCGGGAGGAUGACGGUACCUGAAGAAUAAGCACCGGCUAACUACGUGCCAGCAGCCGCGGUAAUACGUAGGGUGCAAGCGUUAAUCGGAAUUACUGGGCGUAAAGCGUGCGCAGGCGGUUUUGUAAGACAGAGGUGAAAUCCCCGGGCUCAACCUGGGAACUGCCUUUGUGACUGCAAGGCUUGAGUGCGGCAGAGGGGGAUGGAAUUCCGCGUGUAGCAGUGAAAUGCGUAGAUAUGCGGAGGAACACCGAUGGCGAAGGCAAUCCCCUGGGCCUGCACUGACGCUCAUGCACGAAAGCGUGGGGAGCAAAACAGGAUUAGAUACCCUGGUAGUCCACGCCCUAAAACGAUGUCAACUGGUUGUUGGGGAGGGUUCCUUCUCAGUAACGUAGCUAACGCGUGAA
rnacentral:rRNA from 1 species